GGACAGCCAAUUGAUGGUGAUUUUGUCACUGACACUUGGCCAAUGAAGGCACACAGAGUUAGUAAGGUGGAAUAGCAAUAAUCAGGCUACCUGGCAACAGCUAUCACAUACAAAAUUAAUUACUUCAGUAAAAUCACAGUGCAGCAGAGAGACACUGACUGGCAAUCAGGCUAGCUUGCAAAGACACACACUAUCUCACCCUCCUCUUAAAAAAGAA